rnacentral:rRNA from 1 species
AGAGUUUGAUCAUGGCUCAGAUUGAACGCUGGCGGCAGGCCUAACACAUGCAAGUCGAACGGUAACAGAAAGCAGCUUGCUGCUUUGCUGACGAGUGGCGGACGGGUGAGUAAUGUCUGGGAAACUGCCUGAUGGAGGGGGAUAACUACUGGAAACGGUGGCUAAUACCGCAUAACGUCGCAAGACCAAAGAGGGGGACCUUCGGGCCUCUUGCCAUCAGAUGUGCCCAGAUGGGAUUAGCUUGUUGGUGAGGUAACGGCUCACCAAGGCGACGAUCCCUAGCUGGUCUGAGAGGAUGACCAGCCACACUGGAACUGAGACACGGUCCAGACUCCUACGGGAGGCAGCAGUGGGGAAUAUUGCACAAUGGGCGCAAGCCUGAUGCAGCCAUGCCGCGUGUAUGAAGAAGGCCUUCGGGUUGUAAAGUACUUUCAGCGGGGAGGAAGGUGUUGUGGUUAAUAACCGCAGCAAUUGACGUUACCCGCAGAAGAAGCACCGGCUAACUCCGUGCCAGCAGCCGCGGUAAUACGGAGGGUGCAAGCGUUAAUCGGAAUUACUGGGCGUAAAGCGCACGCAGGCGGUCUGUCAAGUCGGAUGUGAAAUCCCCGGGCUCAACCUGGGAACUGCAUUCGAAACUGGCAGGCUUGAGUCUUGUAGAGGGGGGUAGAAUUCCAGGUGUAGCGGUGAAAUGCGUAGAGAUCUGGAGGAAUACCGGUGGCGAAGGCGGCCCCCUGGACAAAGACUGACGCUCAGGUGCGAAAGCGUGGGGAGCAAACAGGAUUAGAUACCCUGGUAGUCCACGCCGUAAACGAUGUCUACUUGGAGGUUGUGCCCUUGAGGCGUGGCUUCCGGAGCUAACGCGUUAAGUAGACCGCCUGGGGAGUACGGCCGCAAGGUUAAAACUCAAAUGAAUUGACGGGGGCCCGCACAAGCGGUGGAGCAUGUGGUUUAAUUCGAUGCAACGCGAAGAACCUUACCUGGUCUUGACAUCCACGGAAGUUUUCAGAGAUGAGAAUGUGCCUUCGGGAACCGUGAGACAGGUGCUGCAUGGCUGUCGUCAGCUCGUGUUGUGAAAUGUUGGGUUAAGUCCCGCAACGAGCGCAACCCUUAUCCUUUGUUGCCAGCGGUUAGGCCGGGAACUCAAAGGAGACUGCCAGUGAUAAACUGGAGGAAGGUGGGGAUGACGUCAAGUCAUCAUGGCCCUUACGACCAGGGCUACACACGUGCUACAAUGGCGCAUACAAAGAGAAGCGACCUCGCGAGAGCAAGCGGACCUCAUAAAGUGCGUCGUAGUCCGGAUUGGAGUCUGCAACUCGACUCCAUGAAGUCGGAAUCGCUAGUAAUCGUGGAUCAGAAUGCCACGGUGAAUACGUUCCCGGGCCUUGUACACACCGCCCGUCACACCAUGGGAGUGGGUUGCAAAAGAAGUAGGUAGCUUAACCUUCGGGAGGGCGCUUACCACUUUGUGAUUCAUGACUGGGGUGAAGUCGUAACAAGGUAACCGUAGGGGAACCUGCGGUUG